GUUUUGAUAGCUUAAUAAAAGCACCGGCCUUGUAAACCGAAGACUGUAGCAUAAACCCUACUCAGGACU
rnacentral:tRNA from 1 species